rnacentral:rRNA from 1 species
CCAUCGCUCAACGGAUAAAAGGUACUCCGGGGAUAACAGGCUGAUACCGCCCAAGAGUUCAUAUCGACGGCGGUGUUUGGCACCUCGAUGUCGGCUCAUCACAUCCUGGGGCUGAAGUCGGUCCCAAGGGUAUGGCUGUUCGCCAUUUAAAGUGGUACGCGAGCUGGGUUCAGAACGUCGUGAGACAGUUCGGUCCCUAUCUGCCGUGGGCGUUGGAUGAUUGAAGGGAGUUGCUCCUAGUACGAGAGGACCGGAGUGAACGAACCUCUGGUGUUCGGGUUGUCACGCCAGUGGCACUGCCCGGUAGCUAAGUUCGGAAUCGAUAACCGCUGAAAGCAUCUAAGCGGGAAGCGAGCCCUGAGAUGAGUCAUCCCUGACCCCUUGAGGGUCCUAAAGGGCCGUUGGAGACCACAACGUUGAUAGGUGGGGUGUGUAAGCGCAGUGAUGUGUUGAGCUAACCCAUACUAAUUACCCGUGAGGCUUAACCAUACAACACCCAAGAAGUGUUCUG